rnacentral:lncRNA from 1 species
GGUUGAUAGUUUAACCCUAUAUCAUCAUAGAGCAUUCAAUGUCAAAGGGAUGAAUUAUGCGGUAACUAUAUGCAUAGGCUCUUGAAUAUUGUCUUGCAAAUAUUCGAUCUAUCUGGACAUUGAAAAUCAUUGCUAGAUGGUAACUUUGAUUAGUAUAAAAAAUAGUUUUUGUGCUACUGAUUUAGUAUUCGAACAUAUGGAGUCACGCACAAAGUCAAGCGAU